AGCGAACAUUGGCGGUAGGCUUAACACAUGCAAGUCGAGCGAGGCGUAAUAGUCGAGCGGCGAACGGGUGAGUAAUACAUGGGAAUCUACCUCGAAGUGGGGGAUAACGUUCAGAAAUGGACGCUAAUACCGCAUAAUCCGGGAACGGGAAAGCGCGCUGCGCUUUGAGAUGAGCCCAUGGCUGAUUAGCUAGUUGGUGGGGUAAAGGCCUACCAAGGCGACGAUCAGUAGCUGGUCUGAGAGGAUGAUCAGCCACGCUGGAACUGAGACACGGUCCAGACUCCUACGGGAGGCAGCAGUGGGGAAUCUUGCGCAAUGGGGGCAACCCUGACGCAGCCAUACCGCGUGUGCGAUGACGGUCUUCGGAUUGUAAAGCACUUUUAGUGGGGACGAUGAUGACGGUACCCACAGAAAAAGUCACGGCUAACUUCGUGCCAGCAGCCGCAGUAA
rnacentral:rRNA from 1 species